rnacentral:rRNA from 1 species
AUGCGGGCCCUCAUAGUGGUAUAUGGGGCUGCCCAGGAUGAUAGAAAAGAUGACUUCCUAGCAGAAUUGAUAUCUGUAUGCUCUCAACUCCCUGUCCCCUAUAUAGUGGGUGGAGAUUUCAACAUUCUCCGCAACAGUGAAGAAAAGAACAAGAAAAUGUCUCACUCCCAUUAUACAGAUAAAUUCAACUCCGUUAUCCAGUCUCUGAAGCUGAGAGAAAUCCAUAUGGGAGGGGGGAAAUACACGUGGUCUAAUAAACAGAAGCACCCUACUUUGGAGAAGUUAGAUAGAAUCCUUAUGAGCUUUGAUUGGGAGGACUUGUUUCCCCUGGUAACUGUUCGAAAACUAGUUAGAGACACCUCAGAUCAUAAUCCUUUACUCUUGGACACGGGAUGUGUGAAACCAGGCCCCUCUCACAAUCGUGAGUUCAGAUUUGAGCUAACUUGGCUUAGUAAUGAGGACUUUUAUGUUAAGGCCAAAAAGAUUUGGGAGCAACCUGUCAACUCUGAGGAUCCUAUUGAUGUGCUCAAUAUCAAACUCAAGCGUAUCAAAAAAUAUUUUAAAGGAUGGGGCUCUCAUUCCUUUGGGCAUGCCAGAAAAAGGAAAAAACACAUUAAAGAAGAACUAGAAGAGAUCGAGAGGCUAGAAGAGGAUGGACCUCUUGAGCCAGAAGUUUAUGAAAAAAGGACCAGCCUGAAUGCGGAGUUGAAUGAACUAUUGUUUAUGGAAGAGCUAUUCUGGUUGCAACAAUCCAAUGAGCGAUGGUUGCUCAAAGGAGACCGGAAUACAACCUUUUAUCAUAGGAUUGCGAAUGGCAGAAAACGGAAAAAUACCAUUCACUCGUUCACUGCGGGAGAGGUGACUAUUGAGGGCACGCAGAAUCUGUUGGCUCAUGCCACUUCCUUUUAUAAAGACCUCUUUGGCCCCGCUGGAGGUAACAUGUUUCAUUUGUCCCCUGAUACAUGGUCAGAAGAAGAGAAACUUAAUGAGGAAGAUAAUAUCUUACUCACAAAUAAAUUCACUGAAGAGGAGGUGAAAAAAGCAUUAUUCAGCAUGAAAAGCAAUAGAGCCCCGGGCCCGGACAAUAUCCCGGCUGAGUUCUAUAUGCAUUGUUGGGAGUUUGUCAAAAAUGACAUCAUGCGCCUGUUUGAGGCUUUUCACUCGAAUAAACUUGAUAUAGCUCGCCUAAACUAUGGGACUAUUACCUUGAUCCCAAAGAUGAAGGGGGCUAGUAAAAUCCAGCAAUAUCGUCCCAUUUGUUUAUUGAGAUGUCCCUAUAAAUUGAUUACCAAAGUAAUGGAUAAUCGGGUAGCAAUCUAUGCUGACAAGCUGAUUAGUAGGCAUCAGAACGCCUUUAUCAAGCAGAGGAAUAUUAUGGAUGGGAUCCUAUCUCUUCAUGAGGUGUUGCAUCAUACACAUCAAAAGAAAAAGGGUGGGUAUAGUCUUGAAAUUAGACUUUGA